UUAAAAUUGACAUCUCUUAUUAACGGAUAAUUAAAAUAGUUCAGCAUUCCUUCAAACUAUAGGCCUACUUAUUGGAAUAGGUGUUAGUGUGGUUUGCUUUAUGGUCACCAUGACUUUUGUCAUCUGUUUUUUUAAGAAAAGAAAAGCACCAGCGAUUUUGAAUUACAACGUAGCUGAAACAGAGUUGAAAACUGUUGUUGAUGGAGUAGAUGCAAUUGACAUUCACACAUACAUUGAUGUCAUUAAUCCAUAUGAUCUUAUUGCUAAGUAGAUCAUCGUCAUGUUCUACUAAAAGUAUUCAUCAAAACAAAAGACGUCCAAAACCACGCACAAUUCGUCCUCUGACCACUGUUUGUCCCAGACUUUUU